GGCGACAGGCUCUGAGCUCUUUGCGCGCACGCGCUGAAAAGCACAACCGGCAUGGCGUAUCACGUACAAGGCAUGCAGGUUUCAGGGGAGCCCGAGUCAUGGGCAAGCAAGGCGCGCAGAUACGCACGCUGAUCAACCGAAAAGUGCAUGUGUGCAAAAACGUGCGCACCUCUGAAGCUCGCAUGUGUGGGCUGAUGAGGCACAGAUGCCAGAAGCCUGAGGAAAGCACUUCGAAUCUGCAUCAUCGAGCACUCCCGGCUCUCAUGUGGAGAGCCUCCAGAUCAUAUUACAGGAUACUGCGGCUUGAAGCGACUGAGAGAGAAGCAUAGAACACAGGCAAGAUGCAGGGUCUCGGAGAGCCAUGGCCUGAGGCUGGCCAAGCUCCCCCUCCUUGAGCUCAUCCGGCGUGCACCUGAGCCACACCGUGUUAUCCGCAUGACAGCCGUCAUCGCCUUCGCCGUCGAGCAGGGCUCUGGACGCGGCCCGCCUGAAUCAGGGCAUGCGGUGCAUUCAGGUCCGUCUGGCGCCGAUCACGCAGCAUGUAUCGGGAGAAAGGACGAGGAAGGCCAAGGAGGGCCCGCGAGACGCAUAGCUCGACUCGACGAAAGGACGGGCUCGUCUUAGAUGAGCGGAAUGCAGCCGCGGUGCGGCAGAGGCUUAUGAGUUGUGGUUGCGUAUGUAUGCGUAUAUUAGCUGACGUGCUCGCUGUACGAUGACACGUUGAUCUAUAUAUAUAUAUAUACGAAGCACCUGCGCCCUAAACCUCUUGCCGUGUGUUUUAUUGUCACUCUAUUUUACGUGCGGUUCUUGUCUGGGCUGAUAUUUCUUCAUGUUCUGCACGGGUUUUCCCCCUCCUCCCUUGCCCCUCAGCCCACCAUCGCCACCACCACCAUCACCGCCAUCGCGUCGUUCUUGUGAUUGUGUUGAGCGCGGUGGGAGAGAACGCGCGCCUCACCGCUUCGCGUUUCUCCGCCGUUGCCCCCUUUAUUGUUAUUUUCUCUGAUGGGGUGCUGCUCGUGGUUCAAGGGAUGAAGUCUGCCGGGGACGGAAUGGGUGUGCUGCUGGCGCUACGUAGCUGUGCCGCUUCUGCUGUACUGCAACGCCGCACAGCGGUUGUGUCUGAGGCACGUACGCUUGUGGACUUCUCUUGUGAAGGGGGUGCCUCCAGGUACAGAGAUGCGCGCAUAAAGCGAUCGUAGAAGUACAGUGAACCUGUGGCGGGUGUGUUGCUGCUAAAAUCUUCGUAUGCUUUCUAUAGGGCUCGUUGCCGUACGGGCCUCGUAUCUCUUUGUUGCGCGCUGCGUGGAAACCGUCCACACUCUUCUUGCACAGCCCUGCCAAGCAGAUCCGUUGAGCUCAGCGUGGACAUCGCCGUCUUUGGCUAUACGGCACAACGUGUACUCAGCCAAAUAUUCACGUGGUUCGUCAGCCUUACUCCGUAUGUGUGUGUGUGUGUGUGUGUGUGUGUGUGGUUCGGGGGGAAGGUCUGAUGACCCGUUGGAACAAGCAGCUGGCCACAAACCAAGACAUCGCAUAUUCGCGAAACAGGACAGCCUUUUCGUGCUGUUCUGCCUCCCAUCGAACAGCCUCCUUGCGUGUGUCUUUAUCUCUCCGCGCACCUCCCUCUCUCCCUCGCGAUUGCUGGCGGCCCAG
rnacentral:misc_RNA from 1 species